GACGAACGCUGGCGGCGUGCUUAACACAUGCAAGUCGAACGGAAAGGCCCUGCUUUUGUGGGGUGCUCGAGUGGCGAACGGGUGAGUAACACGUGAGUAACCUGCACUUGUCUUUGGGAUAACUUCAGGAAACUGGGGCUAAUACCGGAUAGGAGCUCCUGCUGCAUGGUGGGGGUUGGAAAGUUUCGGCGGUUGGGGCUGGACUCGCGGCUUAUCAGCUUGUUGGUGGGGUAGUGGCUUACCAAGGCUUCGACGGGUAGCCGGCAUGGGAGGGUGACCGGGCACAUUGGGACUGAGAGACGGCCCAGAAGCCUACGGGAGGCAGCGGUGGGGAAUAUUGCACAGUGGGGGGAAGCCUGAGGCAGCAACGUCGCGUGCGGGAUGACGGGCUUCGGGGUGUAAACCGCUGUCGACGGUGACGAAGCGGGAGUGACGGUAAUGGGUAAAGAAGCACCGGCUAACUACGUG
rnacentral:rRNA from 1 species